rnacentral:rRNA from 1 species
GACGAACGCUGGCGGCGUGCUUAACACAUGCAAGUCGAACGGUGAAGCGCCUUCCUUUUUGGUGGGUGUGGAUGAGUGGCGAACGGGUGAGUAACACGUGAGUAACCUGCCCCCUUCUUCUGGAUAACCGCAUGAAAGUGUGGCUAAUACGGGAUAUUCUGGGUCUGUCGCAUGAUGGGUCUGGGAAAGAUAUUGUUUCGGUGGGGGAUGGGCUCGCGGCCUAUCAGCUUGUUGGUGGGGUGAUGGCCUACCAAGGCGGUGACGGGUAGCCGGCCUGAGAGGGUGGACGGUCACACUGGGACUGAGACACGGGCCAGACUCAUACGGGAGGCAGCAGUGGGGAAUAUUGCACAAUGGGCGAAAGCCUGAUGCAGCGACGCCGCGUGAGGGAUGGAGGCCUUCGGGUUGUGAACCUCUUUCGCCAGUGAAGCAGGCCUGCCUCGUUUGUGGGUGGGUUGACGGUAGCUGGAUAAGAAGCGCCGGCUAACUACGUG